rnacentral:rRNA from 1 species
GAUGAACGCUGGCGGCGUGCCUAAUACAUGCAAGUCGAGCGAACAGACGAGGAGCUUGCUCCUCUGACGUAGCGGCGGACGGGUGAGUAACACGUGGAUAACCUACCUAUAAGACUGGGAUAACUUCGGGAAACCGGAGCUAAUACCGGAUAAUAUAUUGAACCGCAUGGUUCAAUAGUGAAAGACGGUUUUGCUGUCACUUAUAGAUGGAUCCGCGCCGCAUUAGCUAGUUGGUAAGGUAACGGCUUACCAAGGCAACGAUGCGUAGCCGACCUGAGAGGGUGAUCGGCCACACUGGAACUGAGACACGGUCCAGACUCCUACGGGAGGCAGCAGUAGGGAAUCUUCCGCAAUGGGCGAAAGCUUGACGGAGCAACGCCGCGUGAGUGAUGAAGGUCUUCGGAUCGUAAAACUCUGUUAUUAGGGAAGAACAAAUGUGUAAGUAACUAUGCACGUCUUGACGGUACCUAAUCAGAAAGCCACGGCUAACUACGUG